rnacentral:rRNA from 1 species
CCAAGCAGCCGCGGUAAUUCCAGCUCCAAUAGCGUAUAUUAAAGUUGUUGCGGUUAAAAAGCUCGUAGUUGGAUCUCGGCGGGCAGGGGGUGGUUCGCUCUUCAGCGCUACUGCCCCGCUUUGCCCGUGUGAUUGGCGGAGGUUUCGGGGUGCUCUUCGUUGAGUGACUCGGAGCGCCGUCAGGUUUACUUUGAAAAAAUUAGAGUGCUCAAAGCAGGCUUUUCACGCUUGAAUAUUCGUGCAUGGAAUAAUGGGAUAGGAACUCGUUUCUAUUUUGUUGGUUUUCGGAAAUCGAGUUAAUGAUUAACAGGGACAAUUGGGGGCAUUAGUAUUCAGACGACAGAGGUGAAAUUCUUGGACCGUCUGAAGACUGACUACUGCGAAAGCAUUUGCCAAGAGUGUUUUCAUUAAUCAAGAACGAAAGUUAGAGGUUCGAAGGCGAUCAGAUACCGCCCUAGUUCUAACCAUAAACGAUGCCAGCUAGCGAUCUGCCGAGUUUUUUUUGUAGGCUCCGCAGGAAGCUUUCGGGAAACCAAAGCUUUUGGGUUCCGGGGGAAGUAUGGUUGCAAAGCUGAAACUUAAAGGAAUUGACGGAAGGGCACCACCAGGAGUGGAGCCUGCGGCUUAAUUUGACUCAACACGGGAAAUCUCACCAGGCCCGGACACUGGAAGGAUUGACAGAUUGAGAGCUCUUUCUCGAUUCGGUGGGUGGUGGUGCAUGGCCGUUCUUAGUUGGUGGAGUGAUUUGUCUGGUUAAUUCCGAUAACGAACGAGACUCUGUCCUGCUAAAUAGUUGGGUCGUCCUUCGUGCGAUCCAAGUUCUUCUUAGAGGGACUGGCUGCGUCUAGCAGCACGAGAUUGAGCAAUAACAGGUCUGUGAUGCCC